rnacentral:rRNA from 1 species
UACGGGGGGGGCAAGCGUUGUUCGGAAUUACUGGGCGUAAAGGGCUCGUAGGCGGCCAACUAAGUCCGACGUGAAAUCCCCAGGCUUAACCUGGGAACUGCGUCGGAUACUGGAUGGCUUGAAUUCGGGAGAGGGAUGCAGAAUUCCAGGUGUAGCGGUGAAAUGCGUAGAUAUCUGGAGGAACACCGGUGGCGAAGGUGGCUUCCUGGACCGACACUGACGCUGAGGCGCGAAAGCUAGGGGAGCAAACGGG